rnacentral:rRNA from 1 species
GCAGUGGGGAAUCUUGCACAAUGGGGGCAACCCUGAUGCAGCGACGCCGCGUGAGCGAUUAAGCCCUUCGGGGUGUAAAGCUCUUUCGGCAGGAACGAUAAUGACGGUACCUGAAGAAGAAGCUGCGGCUAACUACGUGCCAGCAGCCGCGGUAAUACGUAGGCAGCGAGCGUUGUUCGGAGUUACUGGGCGUAAAGGGUGCGUAGGCGGUUUUCUAAGUCUGGUGUGAAAUCUCCCGGCUCAACUGGGAGGGUGCGCUAGAAACUGGAAAGCUGGAGUAUGGGAGAGGUAGGCGGAAUUCCUGGUGUAGCGGUGAAAUGCGUAGAUAUCAGGAGGAACACCUGUGGUGUAGACGGCUUACUGGACCAUCACUGACGCUGAGGCACGAAAGCGUGGGUAGCAAACAGGAUUAGAUACCC